rnacentral:lncRNA from 1 species
GAGGAAACCAAUGAGAUCCAGGUGGUGAAUGAGGAGGAGCCUCAGAGGGACAGGCUGGGGCUGCCGCAGGAGCCAGGCCGGGAGCAGGUGGUGGAAGACAGACCUGUAGGUGGAAGAGGCUUCGGGGGAGCCAGAGAACUGGGCCAGACCCCACAGGUGCAGGCUGCCCUGUCAGUGAGCCAGGAAAAUCCAGAGAUGGAGGGCCCUGAGCGAGACCAGCUUGUCAUCCCUGACGGACAGGAGGAGGAGCAGGAAGCUGCCGGUGAAGGGAGAAACCAGCAGAAACUGAGAGGAGAUGACGACUACAACAUGGAUGAAAAUGAAGCAGAAUCUGAGACAGACAAGCAAGCAGCCCUGGCAGGGAAUGACAGAAACAUAGAUGUUUUUAAUGUUGAAGAUCAGAAAAGAGACACCAUAAAUUUACUUGAUCAGCGUGAAAAGCGGAAUCAUACACUCUGAAUUGAACUGGAAUCACAUAUUUCACAACAGGGCCGAAGAGAUGACUAUAAAAUGUUCAUGAGGGACUGAAUACUGAAAACUGUGAAAUGUACUAAAUAAAAUGUACAUCUAAAGAUGAUUAUUGUGAAAUUUUAGUAUGUACUUUGUGUAGGAAAAAAUGGAAUGGUCUUUUAAACAGCUUUUGGGGGGUACUUUGGAAGUGUCUAAUAAGGUGUCACAAUUUUUGGUAGUAGGUAUUUCGUGAGAAGUUCAACACCAAAACUGGAACAUAGUUCUCCUUCAAGUGUUGGCGACAGCGGGGCUUCCUGAUUCUGGAAUAUAACUUUGUGUAAAUUAACAGCCACCUAUAGAAGAGUCCAUCUGCUGUGAAGGAGAGACAGAGAACUCUGGGUUCCGUCUGGCGUCGUCCUGUCCACAUGCUGUACCAAGUGCUGGUGCCAGCCUGUUACCUGUUCUCACUGAAAGACUGACUGGCUAAUGCUCUUGUGUAGUCACUUCUGAUUCUGACAAUCAAUCAAUGGCCUAGAGCACUGACUGUUAACACAAACGUCACUAGCA